UGGCGAACGGGUGAGUAUCACGUGAGGAACCUGCCCUGAACUUUGGGAUAAGCCUGGGAAACUGGGUCUAAUACCGGAUAGGACUGACCAUCGCAUGGUGGUUGGUGGAAAGCUUUUGCGGUUUGGGAUGGUCUCGCGGCCUAUCAGCUUGUUGGUGGGGUAAUGGCCUACCAAGGCUUUGACGGGUAGCCGGCCUGAGAGGGUGACCGGCCACACUGGGACUGAGACACGGCCCAGACUCCUACGGGAGGCAGCAGUGGGGGAUAUUGCACAAUGGGGGAAACCCUGAUGCAGCGACGCCGCGUGAGGGAUGACGGCCUUCGGGUUGUAAACCUCUUUCAGUUGGGAAGAAGCCCUUCGGGGUGACGGUACCUUCAGAAGAAGCACCGGCUAACUACGUGCCAGCAGCCGCGGUAAUACGUAGGGUGCGAGCGUUAUCCGGAAUUAUUGGGCGUAAA
rnacentral:rRNA from 1 species